rnacentral:rRNA from 1 species
UGCCAGCAGCCGCGGUAACACGGGAGGCGCAAGCGUUAUUCGGAAUUAUUGGGCGUAAAGGGCGCGCAGGGGGUCUUGUCCGUCAGGUGUGAAAGCCCUCGGCUCAACCGAGGAAGUGCAACCAAAACUGGCGGACUUGAGUUCUGGAGAGGGUGGCGGAAUGCGCAGUGUAGAGGUGAAAUUCGUAGAUAUUGCGUAGAACACCCGUGGCGAAGGCGGCCACCUGGACAGAUACUGACGCUGAGACGCGAAAGCGUGGGGAGCAAACAGGAUUAGAUA